CAUACUCAAUGAGUUCUACAAAAAUCCUACUCGAUUUGCAUAUACGUUUCAACACCACGUUUUCAUGACACGCCUGCUACUAGAGGCGGAGACCCGAUCUGGCAGUGUACGAAUCAUGGAAAGAAGCAUUCUUUCAGACAGAAUGAUUUUCGUCGAGUCGGUGUAUGAAAAAGGAUGGUUAUCUGACCUAGAGUUCAGUCUUUUUAACAGCUGGUAUGAGCCUGUCGUAAAGGUAAGCCUACAGUGAUACGAGGAGGAAUUUCCAUUGACUCGAUGUCAACAGGUUUCUCCCCACCUAAUCCCCGAUGCAUUUAUUUAUCUUCGGACAACUCCGGAAGUUUGCUUGAAAAGGUUGAAGAGGAGAGCCCGGGGAGAGGAAACAGAGAUCGACCUUCAAUAUCUAAGAACGUUGCACAAUAAGCACGAAUACUGGCUGAAUCAGGACAAACACGGCGAUGUUCCUGAUGAACCAGCUGGCUUUACAGACUCG
rnacentral:lncRNA from 1 species